CUGAGCCCACUCUCUUGAUAGAUCUCUGUAGGGAUAAUUGUUCAACAUAAACCAAAAGUGUCGAAACGUCAUGAAGUACAUUGUAAUGUGUGUGGCUUGAUUUGGUCGUAACAUUUAAUUGUUGAAUACCCGGGUCCUGGCAGUGAUAUUUUUACAGCUAUGUGAGUUGAUUGUGAAAGAUAAUAUGUCCAUUUGUUUUAUACUGCGUGUUACAUAAUCGGAAAGCUUGUAAUUAUUUCCAUAUAUGAUACCUUGGUUAUUCACCCUUUCGUGGGGGUUCGUGCCAGGCAAGUGCCCAAAUUCCCUUACCAACGCCAGACACAGUAGCUGUAGCAAAUUUCGGUAAUUUUGUUUCUUUCUGGCCAAGCCUUUGAAUGAACGACCAAAUGUGGAAUAAUUGUCAAGGUUGAUAAGCUUUCCAAUUAUAACGUUACUUGAUACUAUGCAAUCAGUAAGUAAUGCAACUGAGAUAUGAUUUAUCAAAUCUAAGUUUCCUACUUUAUGCUAAGUCUAGAUUUGUUUCAGGUAACAACAGAUAUGACAAGCAAUGUCUUCUUCUUAGAUGCAUUUUUUUUAUCUAUCACAUUCCACUGAAUGUUUCACGGUCAUGUGUUCAUUGCGUUGGCCUGUUCUACAGCGGUUACGGUCUGUUCUGAGAAUUGUACGUACGCCGACGGCUCGUCUUGUACAGAUGGUGAUGCCAACUGCACGUGUACAAAUAUCUGUAGACCUGCGAAUCCAGAACCUUCGGGGCUAUCUACUGCAGCAAUCAUUGGUAUAGCAUGCGGUAGCGCAUCCGCUGUCAUACUAGUAGUGGUCAUCAUUACUGUCUGCUGCUGCAAGAAAAAGAAGAACAGACAAGUGGCCGCUAGUCAACACGGAUCCCAGGCUAAAGUCAAUGAAACGGAAUUGGAGGAUGCAUAGUACAUAUUUGUCAUUUGAUACUUAGAAAUGAGUACCAACCAAUAACCUUUUGCAUUUACUUUGAGUAUCAAAAAGGAAAACCUGCAAUGAGCACUCCGAAAAAAAAAUAAGAGAAAAAAUGGCAGAAGAACACAGGAGAUGUAAUAAAAAUCUUGGACCUCAUAAAUGUCAGAAAUGCACCUUUCAGGCAGCUAGUUUCGAUGGAUCAGUAGAUGACAGGGGCAACGCAUAACAUCACUUUUGUCAUCAGAUAGAAUGCCAUAAAAAGAGGGCAAAACGUCUCUUUGAACGAUGAGGAAUGUAAUUAUUUUCCAAAGACUCGUUCUUGAGUUAUAGUUGUCCAGCUAAUGAACGUUUUGUGUGCUAAAGUUGUUCUCUGGUUUGUGAUGGAUUGGAUAUGUUUGUAGACAGAGUGAUGAAGACAUGCGUUUUUUUUUCAAAUACUCACGUCUGAGGUGUUCUGUCAAAAUAUCUAUCCAACAAACCAAGUGUACGAGUUACGCACCUAUUGUCUCAACACACGUUGUUAUGACUGUCACAUGUCCUAGAUCUAUAGAUAUGAACUGUUCGAAACGUGACGAGGGCAUACUGAAUCAUUGGCCUUAGGACUCACGGGAAUGCAGACACCAAAUACGGUAUCGAUCGCGAGGUUAUGCAUUAUCUGUUCAAGUGUCACUGUGAACCCCAUUUGCUUACAGAGAGAAGAUUUUGGUCCUUCAUAAAAGAAGGACAGGGCCGCAUAUUGUACGCUUCAAUGACUGACGCAGAGCAUGACGGUAUAUGGUUGUUACGAAUUCCUUGUUGUAAAACUUAUCAUAUUCCGAAUUCGUUGAACGCGAAGGGAAGGACUAUGGUUGGGGAAACAGCUACGGACACGACCUCUGCGUCAUGAGACGGCAUAUUGGCUACCGUCAUUUAAAGAUUGAUAUCUAUCAUGUGUUGUAACUUUCACGCCAAAUUUUGAUAGAGGCAUUACAUUCAAGCUAGGAAGAAUAUUCCUUUGAAGUCAAGAGACAAUUGUUCAGCUAUAUGGUAUUUGGAGGUAGUACUUUGAUAUCGGACUUGUCUGUGAACUGUUGGCUCAAAGCUACGGUGAGAUUUUUGUAACUUCUAUUUUUGUAUCAAUAAACCUUUAAGGAUACAAUUGA